ensembl:lncRNA
GAGAGAGAGAGAGAGAGAGAGAUCACAUAGUUGCCACAUGUGCUGAAAAGAGGCUGGCAAGUUCCAUUAUGACAACUUGCAUAUAGUGGGACAACUUGGCCCAUUGAAUAUGAUUAAUGGUAAAAAAAAACAAACAAACAAAAAAACAACUAAUGGUCUUAAUUUCCCUGACUUCUGUAUAUUCCAGUGGCAUGUCAUUCGUUGGGGUUCAGUUUAGAGACACUGCAUCCAAGAGUUUUCACUGCGCCCGAGGUAGGCUCUCAUUUUGGCCAUCAGGUUUGUCAUUUUGGACCAACGCAAGGAGACAGUGUGUUAGUGACGGCACCUAACCUUCAUAAUGGAACUGGUGGUCUUUAUAGGUGUACUUACAGUGGUAAUCAGUGUAUGCUGCUCCCAGUGACAGUUGAUCCAGGCAUUGCGUUUGGUUUGGCUCUUGCCUGUGAUGAUGGUCAAGCUUUGGUAAGUAGUGCUGAUUAUGAUUGCAGUGGUAAUAAUAAGUUGAGACAAGAGGUGGAUAAAAAUAUGUUUGUCG